ACAAAACUAACAUUCUAGCGCCUAGUCUACAUCCGGCGACUAGGGAUGCUGGGUCCGCAAUCAACUUUUAAAUUAGAAAUCCGAGCGAUGUAUUGUGUUCGUCAAUAGUGAAUUACUCUGGUGGGGGAGUUAAUUACAUUUUUUUUAUUAUGUGGAGCAGAAGUUAUGUAGUGGCAGCACUGGCGCCGAGGAAGGUGAGCCGCGAGGAGAUCUCCGCCGCGCCGUUUAGGAGUUGGGAGCACACCUGCCGCAGCGCGUGCCGUUACAGAAGAACAUAAUUCACAACGACGCGUUCACAGACGGACAGAGAGACAUUUUGAUAUAAUAAAUAAUUUAUGUAUAUUAUUUGUGACUUAAAGUUUUGCUUAUAUUCCAUAAAGCUAAUUAGAAGGAUGGCAUAAUAGGA